AAGUUUGACAGUUGCGCCCGCACGCACACGCUUAUUCAAAACUGCCAGGAAAGAAAGUCGUUUGCUACCCUGCAGGGGUGGGAUGGGCCGGACCAGCCACACAGCUAAUCAGAAGUACCUAAAUUUUAACUACACGGUUGUUUGUGAAAACCCAUUGAUGGGUAAAAAAACACCCAUUUUUGAGGAACAUGCGUGUCUGUCAAAAAAUGCAUAAAUUCAUAAAAAUAAAACGUGUGAAAAAAUACCCAUUUUAAUCUUUUUCAUUCAGCUUACGAAUGGGUACACGGAACCGCCAAACUACCCAAAAUUGAGUUCUUUUGACGCAAUCCCACACUCAGAAAUAAAAGUAUACACGGAAUUACUAUUAUUUAUGCAUUUUGUAUCCGCAUCUCUCUCACUCUCUUUCUGUUUUCAUGCUAUCUGGUGCUUCGCCUGGGUUGACGAAACACUUCUCUUCAACCCAGGCUAAACGGCAGAUAGCAUGAAAACAGAAAAAGAGUGAGAGAGAUGCGGAUACAAAAUGCAUAAAUAAUAGUAAUUCCGUGUAUACUUUUAUUUCUGAGUGCAUAGUUCGGCCCAAUAAGCCAAAUUUGAGUAAAUCGAUUAAACUCACACUAGGUAAAUUGCCUUCACCUCCAGCAAAAACAUUUACUUAAGAGUAGGUAAAUUCAACCCAAGACCCCCCCCCCCCAUUCAACCCAAAUUUGAGUAAACCUGCAUUUACCCAAAAUUGGCUUAUUGGGCUCAAGGACCCCCGUUGGGUAGAUGCAUCUCUGUUUGUUUUUGACAACAUCGGUGAGGAAAAGAGGGAAAACAAUCUAAUUUUGGGUAACAAGUUUAUUCGAUAUACUCAGCUUUGAGUAAAAUCGACCCAAAAAUUAGGUACUUUGAUUUCUCCGUGUAUUUUUUUUACUCUUUAAUGGGUGAAAAAAUAGUUCUCCAAAAUUCUAGUCUGCAGGUGGAGCAAAAUAUUAUAUUUUCCAAGAAUUAUUUGUGAAUGUCAGAUAUUAGGACGUACAUUUUUGAAAUAAGAAAUGUAAAAUGAGCGCCGCGGCAGGAGAAACCUACUCCAAGGGAACUGGAUCGGCAUCAAAUUACGCCGUAUUUGUAAGUACGAAUAUGGAAUGCCUUGCAUCCAAUAGCAUCAGAUCAGGACCCGAAACUCGAACCGGAACCCAUCCAGAAUGACUGAAUGGAGCGAGAUCCGGCGGAACUGCCAAAUCGAAGGCAGGAAGGAGGCUGCUGCUGACAGAACGAUGGUGAUCCGGAAUAAUAAAUACGAUUCUAUCAGAACUUGUAACAUUUUUAUAAAUGAAAUAGUGAUAUCAAUAAAAUUGAUACGAAACUAGUGUAAUUUUUAAUAUUGUUCAUAAUUAUUAUCAUUUUUAAAAUUCAAAGCAAUUUUUCACUGAACAUUUUCAAAAAUGGGUGAAUUUUUACCCAUUUUUCCAAUUGCUCCGCGUUUUCAUAAUGGGUAAAUAAAUACCCAUCUCUUGACAUAAACCGUCUUUACCCGUUAAAUGAGUGGAGGCACUUCUAUGGAAAAUGGGUGUUUUUUCACCCAUUAAUGGGUAUCUGAAAACGACCGUGUAAGGGACUAAACAUAAAUUACGUAAAGUGAGUACCGAGGAUUGUUCACAAUCUGCGAACAUGAUUGCGGAAAAAAUUGCGACCAUGACGCCGCUGGUAUUACCCCGCUAAUUCGACAGCGAUUGUUGUCGAAUUACCGAGGUUAACUUUCAAUUCGACAAACUGAUCACCCUACACGGAGAAACUGAAAAACUCAAAAUUAGGUACUUUUAAACUCAAUUUUGAGUUCUUUUUCAUCUCCCUUUUCAUGCGCUCUUUCUGUUGUUGUCAGAGAGUGAAGAGAGAAACAGCCCAACUUUUGCAGUUCCGUGCGUCAAGCCAAAACUGAGUUUCUAGCACAGUACUCAAAUUUGAGUGAAUACAACCUAGUCAAAAUUUCGGUUGGGUGGAAAAAACUUAAAAUUAGGUAUUUUUUUCAUAUGGAAGCAA